rnacentral:lncRNA from 1 species
UGAUGAUUUUUGGUGAAGAAAACAAAGUAGAGUGCUGAGUUUUUAUAGAAAAUAUCAUGGGCUUCUGGGGAUAGGUUUGGGCCUCGAUCUGAAUUCAUUGGGCGAGAAUGUGGGUCAUUAUAUUCUCCUUACGCAUGGUACGUUCAAGCUUAACAAGAUCUAAAGCUGAAAAGUAGGAAAUAACCUAAAUAGAAUAUAGUGAGAACACAUUUUUCAUAACAGUUAAAUGAAUUAAGUAAACCCAUCUUAAAUAUUUAACAAAAUAACUUCUUUUCACUUUCUACUUAAUUAUUUUUCAAACUCCUCA